GAUGAACGCUGGCGGCGUGCCCAAUACAUGCAAGUCGAGCGAACGGACGAGAAGCUUGCUUUUCUGAUGUUAGCGGCGGACGGGUGAGUAACACGUGGAUAACCUACCUAUAAGACUGGGAUAACUUCGGGAAACCGGAGCUAAUACCGGAUAAUAUUUUGAACCGCAUGGUUCAAAAGUGAAAGACGGUCUUGCUGUCACUUAUAGAUGGAUCCGCGCUGCAUUAGCUAGUUGGUAAGGUAACGGCUUGCCAAGGCAACGAUGCAUAGCCGACCUGAGAGGGUGAUCGGCCACACUGGAACUGAGACACGGUCCAGACUCCUACGGGAGGCAGCAGUAGGGAAUCUUCCGCAAUGGGCGAAAGCCUGACGGAGCAACGCCGCGUGAGUGAUGAAGGUCUUCGGAUCGUAAAACUCUGUUAUUAGGGAAGAACAUAUGUGUAAGUAACUGUGCACAUCUUGACGGUACCUAAUCAGAAAGCCACGGCUAACUACGUG
rnacentral:rRNA from 1 species